rnacentral:lncRNA from 1 species
CCCAGGAUUCUGAGUGUCGAUCAUAAACUGUCAGUCCCCAUUUGAACUGAAAACGCGUCUCAUUUCCAAGUAUGGGGUCUAUUGGGAGCCACCUCUCGAUCGAGUACAACCAGAGCGAUCUUCUUCUUUCCUGGAGAAAUGUCUAUGAUGAUCUAUCAUUAUCUUCCAAAUAAUCCUGCCCCCGGAAACGUGAGCGUGGCCCUAUUCGUCCGGUCUUCGCAAC